rnacentral:rRNA from 1 species
GGCUCAGAUUGAACGCUGGCGGCAGGCCUAACACAUGCAAGUCGAACGGUAACAGGAAGAGCUUGCUUCUUUGCUGACGAGUGGCGGACGGGUGAGUAAUGUCUGGGAAACUGCCUGAUGGAGGGGGAUAACUACUGGAAACGGUAGCUAAUACCGCAUAACGUCGCAAGACCAAAGAGGGGGACCUUCGGGCCUCUUGCCAUCGGAUGUGCCCAGAUGGGAUUAGCUGUGGUGGGGUAACGGCUCACCUAGGCGACGAUCCCUAGCUGGUCUGAGAGGAUGACCAGCCACACUGGAACUGAGACACGGUCCAGACUCCUACGGGAGGCAGCAGUGGGGAAUAUUGCACAAUGGGCGCAAGCCUGAUGCAGCCAUGCCGCGUGUAUGAAGAAGGCCUUCGGGUUGUAAAGUACUUUCAGCGGGGAGGAAGGGAGUAAAGUUAAUACCUUUGCUCAUUGACGUUACCCGCAGAAGAAGCACCGGCUAACUCCGUGCCAGCAGCCGCGGUAAUACGGAGGGUGCAAGCGUUAAUCGGAAUUACUGGGCGUAAAGCGCACGCAGGCGGUUUGUUAAGUCAGAUGUGAAAUCCCCGGGCUCAACCUGGGAACUGCAUCUGAUACUGGCAAGCUUGAGUCUCGUAGAGGGGGGUAGAAUUCCAGGUGUAGCGGUGAAAUCGUAGAGAUCUGGAGGAAUACCCGGUGGCGAAGGCGGCCCCCUGGACGAAGACU